rnacentral:sRNA from 1 species
GGAUAGAAUACGACUUGCCUGGGAUGAUGUGAAUGAGUUUCCAAUUUCUUUUACAUGUGAAGCACUAGUUCGUGAGCUUAAAUUUCCACUUUCCUUGGAUGAACUUUUCUGAUCAAGUGGUCCCAUAAUGUAAGCAGUGUCUAAGACUGAGAGCUCAAAAUUACUUAUCAAAUAUAAAAUUUCUCAAAGAAUUUGGAUUUCAGUUCACACUUCCAUUCGUUCAAGAGAAGGCACAGACUGCUUCCGUGUUGAUGGAAACCUAGCUAAAUGGAGCAGAAUAAUGCACUGUUCUUUAUAUAUGAACUCCCAGACUACUGUCAAAACAAGACCACAAACUACUUCAUGUAGACACUUUUCAUUGUCAACAAAGGACUGGGGAGUUUGCUCGUCCUUCGUCGCUACUUGCCAUGUUGUAGAAUAAUGGCGUAAGAGGGUUCCUCCGUCACAAUGGCGCAGCACAUCUUGUUUGUUCAACUUUACCUAACCAUGGCUCGCCGUGGUGGCUCUGUUUUCUCGUCCUCUUUGUACCCCCGUGUCAUCGCCACAAAUCUAUGGGAUCAAUAAAGUACGCUGACUCUUAAUGAACAAAUAAGAUUAUUUUUAUUAACGUGUAAAUCUGCAUACAAUGACAUGGUCCAUAUUUUAAUGAAGGUAAUCCCCCCGAGAUCUAACCGUUGUUGGGAUUUGUUUGAUAUUUACUUUUGUCAAAUUUGUUUUUAAUGAAAACAGCCUAUACUG